AUUUCAUUGCUCCAGGUGUGUCAUAUCCACUCAUCAUUGACUGAUGACCCCUGAACAGAUUGUCAGUGCCCUUCCCAACUUCAUGUGUUUCUUUGUCAUUGCUCUUCCUCAUACAGCUUGCCCCCACACUCACAGCUUGGUGUGUAUAUUGUAACAAUGUGUUUCUUUAUUUCAUUGCUCCAGAUGUGUCAUGUUCACUCAUCAUUCACAGAUAUCCGGCCCUUCUUCAUACAGCUUGCCCCCUCCCCACAUUCACUGCUUGCUGUGUCAUAUUCACUCAUCAUUGACUGAUGACCCCUGAACAGAUUUCCGGCCCUUCUUCAUACACCUUGUCUUCCACCUUCACAGUCAUGGCACAACACUCAGGAGUGCUGUGAGUUGCAUGACACCUGCAGAGGCUCCAUACUACAGACUACUACUACUCGGUACUACAGAAACCGGAUCACUUGACAAGCCUGUGUCCUGUUUUGGCCUUCCACACUCUGUAGGAUUGCAUAGGCUCCAUUUCUUCUCCCACAUCACCAUUCCAAAACAACUCCAGAUGUUUCGUUUGU